rnacentral:tRNA from 3 species
UAGGGGUUAGCCAAAUGGUAUGGCGUUAAGUUUUGGUCUUAAAGUUGCAGGUUCGACUCCUGCACCCCUAU